rnacentral:rRNA from 1 species
AGAGUUUGAUCAUGGCUCAGGAUGAACGCUGGCGGCAUGCCUAAGACAUGCAAGUCGAACGAAGUGGUCCAUUGAAGAUAGCGUGCUUGCACAAUAUUGGAUUUGGGUUGCCACUUAGUGGCGCAAGGGUGAGUAACACGUGGGUUAUCUACCUCUGAGACUGGAAUAACAAUUAGAAAUGAUUGCUAAUGCCGGAUGAUAUAUAUAAAGAUACGUCUUUCUAUAUUAAAAGGAGCCUUUAAAGCUUCACUUGGAGAUGAGCCUGCGGCGUAUUAGCUUGUUGGUGGGGUAAUGGCUUACCAAGGCGACGAUGCGUAGCCGACCUGAGAGGGUGAUCGGCCACACUGGGACUGAGACACGGCCCAGACUCCUACGGGAGACAGCAGUUAGGAAUAUUCGUCAAUGGAGGAAACUCUGAACGAGCAAUGCCGCGUGAAGGAUGACGGUCCUUUGGAUUGUAAACUUCUGUUGUUAGGAACGAACAACCUAAGUAGGAAAUGACUUAGGCCUGACGGUACCUUUCAAGAAAAGCUCCGGCUAGCUACGUGCCCAGCAGCCCGCGGUAAUACGUAGGGGAGCGAGCGUUAUCCCGGAUUUAUUGGGUGUAAAGCGUGUGUAGACGGCUAUUUAAGUCUUUAGUCUAAGCCCGAGGGCUUAACCCUCGGUUCGCUAUGGGAAACUGAGUAGCUUGGAGUAUGGUAGAGGCAAGUGGAAUUUCUAGGGGUAGCUGGUGGGAUGCGUAGAUUAUAGGAAGGAACACCCAGUGGCGAAGGGCUGCUGCUGGGCCCACUACUGACGUG